rnacentral:lncRNA from 1 species
CUUCAGUUGCUCAGCGUAGCUGGAUGAUGUGCCUGGUGCCCUGGCUCACCCACUGCUGUCCUCAUUGAGUGUUUAAAUCUACAGUGGCCACAGGGUGUUGGUCAACGUGUGCCCAGGGUUUGAGGCAAAGGCCCUGCUGGAGUGGCUGGGAAGGGGGUCUGCAGAAGGCUGGAGCCAAUGUUGGAGGACACCCAGGAGCAGAGGCCACACCACCUCACUGCUGCUGCUUGCUGCCCUGGAGCCCAUCUGCUGCCCAGGAGUCAAUGUCCACUGUGGCUUAUCAGCUAUCCAUUAUAACCUCCCAUAUAUCCAGUCCUUGAAGAAGAAAGCGUCACUGUGCUCUUCUCCGACUGGAAAUGGGAACAGAUCAAAGGGCGAGCUGCAGGAUAAGCCAGGACCCUGGAGGAGGGAAAGGGAGCAGGAGAGUGGAAACCAAGGGAAAGGGACUUCCAGCUGAGCCUUGCGGAUGUCCUGAGCCACAUGUGCAAACUCCUGUGUCAAAGACAUUACUUCUGUUACAGCUGUCCCUGGGCUCCCAGUAAAGACAUGGUUAUCACGUGAUAUGAAGGUUAUGUGUGUUUCUAAAAAAUAUGAAAGAGAAAUGCUUUGGUGUAAACAGAAUAAUAGUAAAUUUGAAAUGAAGGCAUGAAGAAAUGAUCAUUUGGUAUGAUUUCCCCCAAAUCACAGUAAUUUCAUGGAAAGUAAAAGGAAAAUUAUAAAGUUUUAUAGAUGGGAUUAAAUGUUCGCCAGGACUUCUCUUGUGGCUCAGUGGUAAAGAAUCUGCCUGCUAAGCAAAAGACAUGGGUUUGAUCCCUGGGUCGGGAAGAUCCCCUGGAGAAGGAAAUGGCAACCCAUUCAAGUAUUCUUGCCUGGGAAAUCCCAUGGACAGAGGAUCCUGGUGGGCUACAGUCCAUUUUGUUGCAAGAAGUCAGACGUAACUUAGCGACUAAACAACAACAAAAAUGUUCACCACAGAUUUCGUUAUCCUUAGUGCUAGCACUAAAAAUGUAAGUACUUAGACGAGCUCAGUGCUGUUAGGUGUGCACAGAAUGGAGUGUGAAGCUUUUGCUUUCCUGGUGCUGUACAGGUGUGGGACCUUCAAGGCACUGCUGUUCUAGAUGAAGGAAAGUAUAAUGUUGUAUUUUAGUCCUCUCAAAUUAGUCAGUCUGUGGGUAUGUUGCUUUUGGAAUGAAAGUCUCCAAACUCUUCUGAAGAAGAGAACAUAAUCUCUCAUUAUGUGAUCUUACAAGUUCAGAGAAAACAGAACACCAAAUUUUAAAAAGUUGUAUUUUUAAAGAGAUUAGACAUUCCAAAUUUGGUCCUAAGUCAUUUAAAAUGAUCAAUUCUGGCUAUAGGGAAUGGAAAACAGGUUUAUUGCAAAUGUUUGAAAACACAAAUAAAUGGGUUUUGAGAAGGGGAUUGAUUUUGUCACACGUAUUUCCAUUUUCCUUAAAUUAAGUUUUUUCUGCUCAUUUCCAGUUUUGUUAGAUAUUCUGGUUUAAAGAACCAUGGCAUAGUUGAAUUCUGUAUAGGUAAGUUGUGUAUACUACUUCUUGGUAAUUAGAUUAGUUUACACAUUUUUCUAUUACUUUAUUGGAAAUACAUUUAACCUGACAGGUAACUAUGGUGGUGGUAGUGGUUUAGUCGCUAAGUCGUGUCAGACUCUUGCAACCCCAUGGACUGGAG